UACUCCUUUAAGAAGGAGUAGGGUUUCUAAAUUCAUCAUCUCUCUCUUUCAUUGCCUCUUUCUCCAUGGCUAUCUUUCUCAACCUACGAUUUGUUCUUCUUCAGCUCUGGUUGAUCAAUUCCCUUCAUUUGCUACUCAUUUUGGAUGCUUCCAGCUUGUAUGAGUAAGUAAGUUUCUUCAUUUCUUCUUGUACACUUCAUAAUCCGACCUUUGCUUUCUUCAGGUGAAAUCUUCAGUAGUCUUUCCGUGGUUUUUAGUGCUUAAAAAGGGUCUUGUCUUCUGAGGCUUAUUUCUUUCUUCUUGGUACAAAGAUAAGUGUACUUUUUCUGCGAAGAGUUAGGUGGAUUGGCUUAGUUCAUCAGUUCAUUAUGGUGAAGUAAUUCAUCCAUGUACCAGGAUGUAUUAUGGUUGGUUCAUUGGGACUGAUUGUGGAAAUUCCUCUUUACAUGCUAUAGCCAUAAUAAAGAGCCCAUUUACAUUGUUCAAAGGAUAUUGCAGACUCAUACAUGAUCUGAUAAACCACGAAGGGCCAUUUCUUGAAACUGUUUGCAUUCUCAUUGCUGGGUUAACAAUCCUUCUAUGGACUGUUGUUGUCAUUGGAAGUGUCAUAAUGGCUAUUUCUCCAGCUUUUUCAUUGGUUUAUAUAGAGUUGUUAAUGUCUAUCAGGAGAGUUCCUUCCAAAGAGGUGUUGCUUUUGUGAGUACAUAAAUGAUUGGCUUUAUCUAAGAGAAGGGUCCAUUUUUCCAAACCACGCCUCAUUAUCAAAACAACAAGGGAUCCAGUACGUCAGACUACUCUGUGAAACAAAAUGGUUCAGUACAAGGCAGAUUAAAUUCGAUAUUUGCUGAAGCACCUCCAAUGCUCGUUCCAAGCCGAACGUCGUCUAUAUCAGCGAGGGAGGCAAUACAAGAAGUGAAAAUAGUUUAGGAUAUUGCAAAUUAGAGACAGUUGACCUAUCAAUGAAGAUGGGAAAUAUGCUGCCAGGGUCUGAAGGAUCAGCUAAAAUAUCUUAGGUUGUUAUAGAUGAUCAAAAUUACAAAGAGGGUGAACUUUGAAGAUUCUAAUAUUAUAGCAAAAAUUAUGCAGACUAGAAGUCCUCUUAAGGAAAGAAAAGGCAAUGAAUCUGUGGACUUGAGGCCGUCAACAAUGAGCAGCAAAAUAAUCAUGUUGGAAGAGCAGAGUGUAGAAAGUUAUGGGAACUGUUAUAAGUAGGAAUGUGAUUUGGAUUGCCUAAACAGUGCCAUAACUUGUAUGUCAUGGAUACAUGGCAAUUGAGAUGUAAAUACAUUAUUAGUUUUUAAUAUAUACAUAAGUUAUCUUUAUAUUUGUUA